UUGAAAAAUUGGUAUAUAAAAAAAAUUUUUUUUUUGUACCUUGUGUAUCAAGUUUAUUAACUAAUUAAUAAUUAUUUAUUAUUCGCGAUUUUAUAAUAGUUAAUAAUUUACUAAAAUUUAUGUAUCAAAAUUAUUUUUUAUAAGUUAUUAGAAAUUAAAUAUUAUUCGUUUAUAAAGAUACCUAGUUUUUUUAGAAAUCAAUUUAAUUUAUGAAUUUUUAAUUUUUUAUUAAUUUAAAUAUUUCAAGGGAUAAGCUUUAAAAUAAAUUAUUAUAAAUUAAUAUUUUUUUUAAAUAUAUGCUUAUAAUUAACAAUUAUUAAUAAUAUUGUUAUAAAUUAUUGUAUUAAUAAAUUAUUUAAUUAAUUUUAAUAUUUUUAUAAGUUUUUUUUAAUUUUAUAUUAAAAAGUAUAAAUGAUAAAAUUAGUACAUUUAUAUUUGUUUUAAGUAAAUUUAUUUGAUAAGUUUUUAUAAAGAACUCGGCAAAUAUUUAUACUCGCCUGUUUAACAAAAACAUGUCUUUUUGAGUUAUUUUUAAAGUCUAACCUGCCCAAUGAGUAAUUUUUAAUGGCCGCAGUAUUUUAACUGUGCAAAGGUAGCAUAAUCAUUAGUCUUUUAAUUGAAGGCUUGUAUGAAUGGUUGGACGAAGUAUAAACUGUUUCAUUUAAAUUUAUAAUAGAAUUUUAUUUUUUAGUAAAAAAGCUAAAAUAUAAUUAAAAGACGAGAAGACCCUAUAAAUCUUUAUAUUAUAAUUUAUUAUUUUUUUUUUGAUUUAUUAGAAAUUAAUAUAUUAUAAUAUUUUGUUGGGGUGAUAUUAAAAUUUAAAAAACUUUUAAUUAAAUUUUUUACAUUAAUUUAUGAUUUAUUGAUCCUUUAAUAAUGAUUAUAAGAAUAAGUUACUUUAGGGAUAACAGCGUAAUUUUUUUGGAGAGUUCUUAUUGAUAAAAAAGUUUGCGACCUCGAUGUUGGAUUAAGAGAUAUUUUUAGGUGUA
rnacentral:rRNA from 1 species